AACUUAUUACUAUGUGUUUUUUAUUUAGUUGCAAACAAGUUGUAAACUAAAAUAUUUGCUCCAAUUAUUAACUUAAGUGGCAAUUUUAGCACUCAUAUUUCAUCUCUUUUAAAUUAAAAAUGUUUAUCCAAAUGAUUACAAAAUAUAAUGCGAAAUGCAAUGAUAUUUCUUUUUUGUCACCAAAAUUUGAAACAUUUGGCGAAAAAGCCAAAAAUCAGUUAAAAACUAAAAUAACUUGGUAAUUUAAAAUGGCUAUAAAAAGCUUUUGAAUGUUUUUAAAACUGGACCACAUUUGGAAAGGGCUAAUAUGAACAGUCUGUGCAAAUUUGAAUAACAAAAUUACCUUUCCAACACACCAAAUAUAUAAAAUUGAUUACCAGAUAAAAACAGCACCUGAUGGUAGAAAAUCUGUCCAUAGACAUAAAUAAAAAGCAUACAUUAUUGUAAAACUAAUACAUUCUAAGAAUCUAAAACACUUGAUGAAAAAAAAAAAAAAAUCAAAGGUCAUAAUUAAAUUGUAUUUAAAUGGUUUAAACUGAGGGAUAAAAAUAAUGUAAUACUGUAAUAUUAAUUACUUCAAAUAUGAUUAAAAAAAUAAUACAAAUUUAACUUGGUUCAUUAUAAAAAAAUAGUAUAAAUGUUUUUUUUUUAUAAUCAAUAUCCAUCACAUAAAAUUUAAUUUUUUAGAAAUAUCUUAAGAC